rnacentral:lncRNA from 1 species
ACCAUCUCCCGCUAUAAAACACCCCCAUCACUUCACCUAGAACAUCAUCACUACUUGCUUAUCCAUCCAAAAGAUACCCACCAUGGCUAGAUCAUCAAGCCCUUUGCUUCUCUCACUCUGCAUUUUCGCCAUUCUCUUCCACUCUUCUCUGGGUAGGCAGCAAUUCCAGCAGGGGAACGAGUGCCAGAUCGACAGGAUCGACGCAUCCGAGCCGGACAAAACCAUCCAGGCAGAAGCUGGCACCAUCGAGGUAUGGGACCAGAACCGCCAGCAAUUCCAGUGCGCUGGUGUUGCCGUUGUAAGGCGCACCAUUGAGCCCAAAGGUCUUCUCUUGCCUUUCUACAGCAACACCCCUCAGCUCAUCUACAUCGUUCAAGGUAUAAAUUAAAUCAGUUCAUACAAUGAUAACCACCACUUCGAAUGUAUUUAUCAAAUAUCAAUGAUCGAUGCACCUGUAUGUGUUGUGUAUAUUCAGGUAGGGGAGUUACAGGAAUCAUGUUCCCAGGAUGUCCAGAGACAUUCGAGGAAUCCCAGCAGCAAGGACAACAGGGCCAACAGGGUAGUUCCCAAGACCAGCACCAGAAGAUCCGCCGCUUCCGUGAAGGUGACGUCAUUGCCGUCCCUGCCGGUGUAGCCCACUGGUCCUACAACGAUGGCAACGAACCAGUCAUGGCCAUUGUUGUCCAUGACACUUCCAGCCACCUCAACCAACUGGAC